UACAGAGGGUGCGAGCGUUAAUCGGAAUUACUGGGCGUAAAGCGCGCGUAGGCGGCUUUGCAAGUCGAGUGUGAAAUCCCCAGGCUUAACCUGGGAACUGCAUUCGAGACUGCAUAGCUAGAGUAUGGGAGAGGGAAGUGGAAUUUCAGGUGUAGCGGUGAAAUGCGUAGAUAUCUGAAGGAACAUCAGUGGCGAAAGCGACUCCCUGGACCAAUACUGACGCUCAUGUGCGAAAGCGUGGGGAGCAAACAGG
rnacentral:rRNA from 1 species